UACAGAGGGUGCAAGCGUUAAUCGGAAUUACUGGGCGUAAAGCGCGCGUAGGUGGUUCGUUAAGUUGGAUGUGAAAUCCCCGGGCUCAACCUGGGAACUGCAUUCAAACUGUCGAGCUAGAGUAUGGUAGAGGGUGGUGGAAUUUCCUGUGUAGCGGUGAAAUGCGUAGAUAUAGGAAGGAACACCAGUGGCGAAGGCGACCGACCUGGACUGAUACUGACACUGAGGUGCGAAAGCGUGGGGAGCAAACAGG
rnacentral:rRNA from 1 species